rnacentral:rRNA from 1 species
AAACCCAGAUUUGACAUAC